rnacentral:rRNA from 1 species
GUGCCGAGUGGUAAACGGGUGAGUAAUACAUCNGAACGUGUCCUGUCNUGGGGGAUAUGCCGGUNAAAGCCGGAUUAAUCCCGCAUACNCUCUNCNGAGGAAAGGGGGGGAUCUUCUGACCUCCCGCUACUAGGGCGGGCGAUGGNNGAUUACCUAGGUGGUGAGGUAAAGGCCUACCAAGGCGACGAUCUGUCNCUGGGCUGAUAAGACNACCNCCCACCCUGGGACUGAGACACGGNCCNGACUCCUUGGGGAGGGGGCAGUGGGGAAUUUUGGACAAUGGGGGCGACCCUGAACCGUCUUUGCCUUGUGUGUGAAUAACGCCUUCGGGUUGUAAAACACUUUUGUCCGAAAAAAAAACGCCNNGNUUAAUACCCGUGGCGGAUGACNUACCCGGAAGAAUAANCACCGGCUAACUACCUGCCANCANCCGCGGUAAUACNUAGUNGUGCAAGCGUUAAUCGAAAUUACUGGGCUUAAACUGUGCGCUGGCUUUCCGCUAAGACAAAUGUGAAAUCCCCGGGCUUAACCUGGNAACUGCAUUUGUGACUGGCUGGCUAGAUUAUGGCAAAAGGGGGUAGAAUUCCACGUGGUAGCAUUGAAAUGCGUAGAGAUGUGAAGGGAAUACCGAUGGCGAAGGCAGCCCCCUGGGCCCAUACUGACGCUCAUGCUCUAAAGAUGGGGGAGCAAACGGGAUUAGAUACCCUGGUAGUCCACGCCCUAAACGAUGUCAACUACUUGUCGGGUCUUCAUUGACUUGGUAACUUAACUUACGCGUGAUGGUGACCGCCUGGCGAGUACGGUCGCAAUGUUAAUACUCUUAGGAAUUAACGCAGACCCGCACAAGCGGUGGAUGAUGUGGAUUAAUUCGAUGCAACGCGAAAAACCUUACCUACCCUUGACAUGUAUGGAAUNNUGNUGAGAGGUGGGAGUGCCCGAAAGGGAGCCAUAACACAGGUGNUGCAUGGCUGUNGUCAGCUCGUGUCGUGAGAUGUUGGGUUAAGUCCCGCAACGAGCGCAACCCUUGUCCCUAGUUGNUACGCAAGAGCACUNUAGGGAGACUGCCGGUGACAAACCGGAGGAAGGUGGGGAUGACGUCAAGUCCUCAUGGCCCUUAUGGGUAGGGCUUCACACGUCAUACAAUGGUCGGAACAGAGGGUCGCCAACCCGCGAGGGGGAGCCAAUCCCAGAAAACCGAUCNUAGUNCGGAUCGCACUCUGCAACUCGAGUGCNUGAAGNUGGAAUCGCUAGUAAUCGCGGAUCAGCAUGCCGCGGUGAAUACGUUCCCGGGUCUUGUACACACCGCCCGUCACACCAUGGGAGUGGGUUUUACCAGAAGUGGNUAGUCUAACCGCAAGGAGGNCGNUCACCACGGUAGG